rnacentral:rRNA from 1 species
GAUGAACGCUGGCGGCGUGCCUAAUACAUGCAAGUCGAGCGAACAGACGAGGAGCUUGCUCCUCUGACGUUAGCGGCGGACGGGUGAGUAACACGUGGAUAACCUACCUAUAAGACUGGGAUAACUUCGGGAAACCGGAGCUAAUACCGGAUAAUAUAUUGAACCGCAUGGUUCAAUAGUGAAAGACGGUUUUGCUGUCACUUAUAGAUGGAUCCGCGCCGCAUUAGCUAGUUGGUAAGGUAACGGCUUACCAAGGCAACGAUGCGUAGCCGACCUGAGAGGACGAUCAGCCACACUGGAACUGAGACACGGUCCAGACUCCUACGGGAGGCAGCAGUAGGGAAUCUUCCGCAAUGGGCGAAAGCCUGACGGAGCCACGCCGCGUGAGUGAUGAAGGUCUUCGGAUCGUAAACCUCUGUUAUUAGGGAAGAACAAAUGUGUAAGUAACUAUGCACGUCUUGACGGUACCUAAUCAGAAAGCCACGGCUAACUACGUG